UACGAAGGGUGCAAGCGUUACUCGGAAUUACUGGGCGUAAAGCGUGCGUAGACGGUCAUGUAAGUCGGGUGUGAAAGCCCCGGGCUCAACCUGGGAAUUGCAUUCGAGACUGCAUGGCUAGGGUGCGGAAGAGGGAAGCGGAAUUUCCGGUGUAGCGGUGAAAUGCGUAGAUAUCGGAAGGAACACCAGUGGCGAAAGCGGCUUCCUGGUCCAGCACCGACGUUCAGGCACGAAAGCGUGGGGAGCAAACAGG
rnacentral:rRNA from 1 species